UACGUAGGUGGCAAGCGUUGUCCGGAAUUAUUGGGCGUAAAGCGCGCGCAGGCGGUUCUUUUAAGUCUGAUGUGAAAGCCCACGGCUCAACCGUGGAGGGUCAUUGGAAACUGGAGAACUUGAGUACAGAAGAGGAAAGCGGAAUUCCACGUGUAGCGGUGAAAUGCGUAGAGAUGUGGAGGAACACCAGUGGCGAAGGCGCUUUCUGGUCUGUAACUGACGCUGAGGCGCGAAAGCGUGGGGAGCAAACAGG
rnacentral:rRNA from 1 species